UUUGUUGGAUUCUUGGAAUUGAUACAGGAGGGAAACUAGAACAUGAUUACACCUAUUGGAGAAUAAUGCAUUUUUCCCAAUAUCGAAAUAACUAUGCAGUGUGAUUACAAUGAACACUGGGUCAUCAAGAUAUGAUGUCUUCAAGAGGUGCCAGACAUGAGUCUGACAGAUGUGGUGAUGAUAUCAUUCUAGCUGUCUAACCCUGACUUUCAUGAGACUUUAAAGAAACAGAUUAUAGUUCUCUAGUCAGUACAUGGCACCAUUUCUAUGAUUGAAAUUUCAAUAAAAACGUUAAAAUAUAAUAUAUCCACCAUUUCAAACCUGCAUUAACUGAUUUUAUUAUUCACUUAUACACAGUUGAAACAAUUAGUGAACAAAACAUUAACAUAUCCUCUUCUUUAUGGUUGAUAUGUAGAACUUGUUAGAAAACAGUUUGUACGCAUGUUCAUCAGAAACAGCAACAGGAUGAUUGAUGUGGAGUUGCCUUUGUGACCAGCUGAUGAAUCCAACGCUAGUAUUCCCUCUCUUUUAGCUGGUUUGGUCUCAACCAACUACCGAAGCGCCCUCAUAUCAUUGUUCAAUUUGAGGUGUUUCUCAAACUGUGAGUGAGGACCAAGCCUAGUAAGAAACAUUAUUACAAUAUUUGAAUUGGUUGACAGGAUUCAGCAAUAUAAAUGACCGUUUUGCAACAGUCCUUACUCGUGUAGCUACGCCAGUUUACAGUGCAUGUUUUGUGAUUCUCGUCAAAAAUUUGCCAGUGUGAUAGACUGUUAUGGACUGGACAAGAUCAUGGACUGGUGGCUUAAGACCAGGUUGAUUAAAAGAAAACCAAAACAAACGAACACAACUGGAAAGGCAAUGAGUUGAUGCAGGAUGUUCAGCAGGAAGUGCCACCAUUGAGGCUGAGGAGGAAAAUUACAUCAAACGAGACAUCUCAAAGAUGUGAAACCCAGGAUGAACAUGGAAAAUCCACAGAUAAUCCCCUGCUGCACUUAUACAUAAAAUAUAUAUGAAAAUUAAGAAGACUAAGGAAAUUAAUCCAAAUAUAACAUAAGAAACUCAAGGACAAUCAAGGUGAUUGAAGAUGACUUCAAUCACAUUCAAAACUCUGUUAGUAUAUACAUUUUAUGUGAUAUUUGAUAUGUUGAGUCAAAUUGUCUGGAAGGGGAUCAAACAGAUCACAAACAACAAACCUAAAGCUCCACAUUCUAUUAACAGCCCACUUCAGGACCGUUAGAAUAUGUUUUCACUUGCAAGGUAUUUUUUUUUCAGUCGUCACUUCGAUGGUGGGGAUGUAGUGUGAAGACCAGGUUGUCUCCAAAGCCCUUCAAUUCACUUAAACACUUCAGGUCAACUGCAGAGCUGGAAGUCCUUUCAGAAUCACAUCAUGAUGUACUGUACUCCAGCAAGCGCUUCAGCAUCAGCCCUUCAGUCUAUGAAGGCAGAAUCUUACUGGCUGGCUUAGAUUACAACCAUCAUGUCCACAGAUCACCCAAAAGAAGACCUGAAGGCUCUAUACAUGUUAAGAGGAUAAGACCACAGACCAGACACUUCCCCAGAGGUGAUGCCUUGGAUUAGCAUCCAGAUGAAUCAUGAAACAAAUCCUGCAACUAUGUUCAAACAUUAAAUUUGUAGAUCCAAAUACAUAAAUCUACCUGAGUAUUAUAAAUAUUCAACACAAGUACUUAGUAUUUUUUUCACGUGGAAAAUGAAGCUUGACAAUAUUACAUCAUUGUUUACUACUAGAUAUUGCAUCGGUGGUACUGAAUCAGUGGAUCUGAUUACCCCAAAUGAAUAUAUUUGUAAUGCCUUGAAUUGGUUCAAAAAGUAUAUUGAUAAAAAAAUUAAGUAAUCUUCACAUUGUUGUUUAUUAAUGC